rnacentral:rRNA from 1 species
GACGAACGCUGGCGGCGUGCUUAACACAUGCAAGUCGAACGGAAAGGCCCUGCUUUUGUGGGGUGCUCGAGUGGCGAACGGGUGAGUAACACGUGAGUAACCUGCCCUUGACUUUGGGAUAACUUCAGGAAACUGGGGCUAAUACCGGAUAGGAGCUCCUGCUGCAUGGUGGGGGUUGGAAAGUUUCGGCGGUUGGGGAUGGACUCGCGGCUUAUCAGCUUGUUGGUGGGGUAGUGGCUUACCAAGGCUUUGACGGGUAGCCGGCCUGAGAGGGUGACCGGCCACAUGGGGGAUGGGAUACGGCCAAGACCCCUACGGGGGGCAAGAGGGGGGAAUAUUGCCAAAGGGGCGGAAGCCUGAUGCAGCAACCCCGGGUGGGGGAGGACGGCCUUCGGGUUGUAAACCGCUUUCGCCUGGGACGAAGCGGGGGGGACGGUAAUGGGUAAAGAAGCCCCGGCUAACUACGU